rnacentral:misc_RNA from 1 species
ACGAGACACGGCGACUUCUCGCGGCAGGAUUCCGCUACCUAGGUUAUCUCAGCGCGCUCGUGUAUUCCAUGUGUCGAGUGUUGGCUUCGUGCGUGUAGUUGUGUAUGUACCGUCCUGCUCCGGAGGAGUUCACCAUCGCGAUCGCAUUCGACGAGGAAACCCCUUCGCACGCCUCCUCGAUUCUGCAUGACUUGUUCGCAGCGCAGCUGGCAUACGUCGCUCUACACCCGGAAAGCAGCAAACCCGCCGACGUCAGCCGACCAGCACGCCGAGUUAGCGUGUUGGAGCGUGAGGGAGUACGUCAUCUCACGCAUGCGCUGUAGCGUCGCAACAUAUUGCACCUGACAGCACUGCCCGAAAUACAGCUGGUGGCCGCUCUCAUUCUUCUCUCUGACGAUACAGUAGCUGUAGAGAUAAAUAAUACUAACAUGGAUGUGGAAGUUAGCACUGUAAAAACAACGGCACAAAAGAAGAAGGAAAAGAAGGAGAGGGAGAAGCAGAAGAAAUUGGCGCAGAAAAAAGCGGAUGCUUCCAAAGAAAUCAACAAGAAAGGAGAGGAGGAUGAAAUGAAAACUGAUGAGAAGAAGAAUGAUAAACCUGUACCUGAAAAAAAACAAGAUAACAUGGAAACUGAUGCUGAUACCAUUGAACCCAAAGAUAGCAAGAAGAAAAAGAAAAAAGGUGCUAAAGAGGAAGUUAAAGAGAAAGGCAAAGGUCCUGGAAAGAAAACUAUUGCUGCUAUGCAGGAAGCUUUGAGGAAGUUGAAGGAAGAAGAAGAAAGAUUGAAGCGCGAGGAAGAAGAGAGGAUACGACAAGAGGAAUUGCGGGAACAGGCGCGACUCGAACAAUUACGGCUUGAGCAGGAACGCAAGGAGAGGAAGAAAUUGAAGGAAAAGCAGCGAAAAGAGAGAUUAAAGGCGGAGGGCAAAUUCUUAACAACGAAACAGAAGCAGGACAGAGCCAGGGCACAGGCGAUGAUCGAAGCGCUUAAAGCUCAGGGUCUUGACUUGCCGGAUGUGGGAGAGAAAAAACCUAGACCAGGAACACGAGUCAGACCGAACAAGUUGAAGCAGCAAGUUAGCGUGGAGAAGAAGGAAGACGAGAAACUUGAAAACAGCGAAGCACCUACGGAUCAAGUGCAAGUGGAAAUUAUAGACCAAUCAACGGAGGUGAAGGAUGUGAAGGAGAAAAAGGAAGAGGAAGAUGUUAAGGAUUCGUGGGAUGCCGACAGCACGGAAGACGAGCAAGAAGAAGAUAAAUCGGACGACGCCCCAAAGACCCCCGAGAAAGCGAAGGAACAAUCCGUCGAGAAAGCCUCCGCCAAAACCGAGCCGGAGAAGAAAGAGUCUUCCGAGAGUGAAACUGAGAGCGAGAGCGGCAGUGAAUCCGAGUCAGAGGGCGACGAGAGCUACGAAGAGAGCGAAGUAGAGGAUAAACUACCAGAUGCAGCGCGCAAGAAGGAACGUGCGCGAGAACGAAUCCAAAGUCGCCGUAUUGAAGCCGAAAAGAAAAAGUCAUUGGAUAACUUGAGAGCUGCCGUGGUUUGUGUGUUGGGUCAUGUAGAUACUGGCAAGACCAAGAUCCUGGACAAGCUGAGGAGAACAAACGUGCAGGACGGCGAAGCGGGUGGUAUAACUCAACAAAUCGGUGCUACUAAUGUGCCAAUUGAAGCUAUCCAAGAGUCAACGAAGCAUGUGAAAGGCUUUGCCGACAAGAAAUUUAAAAUCCCCGGUCUCUUGAUCAUAGACACACCUGGUCAUGAGUCUUUCAGCAAUCUCAGAAGCAGAGGGUCUUCUCUUUGUGAUAUAGCGAUCUUAGUUGUAGAUAUUAUGCACGGGCUAGAGCCGCAAACGCUAGAGAGUAUCAAUUUGUUGAAAGCCAAGAAAUGUCCUUUCGUUGUUGCUCUUAAUAAAAUUGACAGGUUAUACGAUUGGCAGACCAUGAAUCGUAAGGAUGUUCAGGACAUCGUGAAGAAUCAAGCACCUAAUACUCAGCGGGAAUUCGAGAAUCGGUCAAAGGACAUAAUUGUACAGUUCGCCGAGCAGAGUUUGAAUGCAGCUUUGUUUUAUGAGAAUCCAGAUCCUAGGAGUUACGUGUCAUUAGUCCCAACCAGUGCCAUAACAGGCGAAGGUAUGGGCAAUCUAUUGGCCUUAAUAGUCGACGCUUGUCAGGGCCCGCUGGCCAGGAGACUCAUGUACAGCAAGGAGCUUCAAGCUACCGUAUUGGAAGUGAAAGCAUUGCCGGGACUGGGUACCACGAUAGACUGUAUUCUAGUCAAUGGAAUGCUAAGGGAGGGCGAUACGGUCAUUAUCGCUGGAACGGACGGGCCUAUUGUAACGCAAAUUCGCUCGCUUCUUAUGCCGCAGCCGUUAAAAGAAUUAAGAGUUAAGAACGCAUACAUCGAGUAUCGUGAAGUUACGGCUGCUCAGGGAGUGAAAAUCGCCGCGAAAGAUCUGGAGAAAGCCAUUGCCGGCUUAAAUCUGCAAGUCGCGCAAAAGCCAGACGAGGUGGAAGUGUUGAAGGAAGAGAUAGCCAAGGAGCUGUCGAGCGCUCUCGGAAACAUACGGCUAGCCGAACGAGGAGUUUACGUCCAGGCGUCUACGUUGGGAGCUCUCGAGGCGCUGUUGGAUUUCUUGAAGAGCAGCAAAAUACCAGAAUCGCGGCAACUUCAGGACGGACGCCGGCAAAGAUGGCGGAUGCGAAAUCGCGCCUGCAAAAACGACUCGACGCAGAUUCGGAGCGGAGAGGCAGCGUCCGUGCUACUCGACGUGCUACAAGUAUGCUGGAAUUCGCAUCGGGCCGGUCGUCAAGAAGGACGUCAUGAAGGCUUCCAUCAUGCUGGAGCACGACAGCCAGUACGCCACGAUUCUCGCGUUCGACGUGAAGAUCGAGAAGGACGCGCAGGAAUUGGCGGACUCGCUGGGCGUCAAGAUCUUCCAAGCGGACAUUAUUUACCACCUGUUCGACAAAUUCACCGCCUACAGGGAGGAACUGAAGCAGCGCAAGCGGGACGAACACAAGCACAUCGCCGUGUUCCCGUGCAAGCUGAAAAUCCUGCCGCAGUACGUGUUCAACUCGAGAGACCCGAUCGUAGUCGGCGUGAUGGUCGAGGCUGGCAUCGUCAAGGAAGGAACGCCGCUCUGCGUCCCGAGCAAGGACUUUGUCGACUUGGGCAUGGUGACUAGCAUAGAGUACAAUCAUAAACCCGUGGAAUCGGCCAGGAAAGGUCAGGAGGUCUGCAUAAAAAUCGAACCGAUCCCGGGCGAGGCGCCCAAGAUGUUCGGUCGCCACUUUGAAGCAAAGGACUUCCUCAUCAGCAAGAUCAGCAGACAGAGCAUCGACGCUUGCAAGGAUUACUUCAGGGACGACCUGCUGAAGACCGAUUGGCAGCUGAUGGUGGAACUCAAGAAGCUCUUCCAGAUACUCUAGGAUACGCUGAGGCUCACGAUGACGUCAUCCGGCGCCCUCCCGUCGCUUUGACGGCGAGAUGACCGGCGAAGCUGCGAUAUCCUUGCGAGGUACUCGAGACCAUUGAGCGAAGAUCGUCUCCUCGAGUCAUCCCGAUCGACACCGCGCGCCUCGGGACGUGGCAUGCUCGAAAACCUGCCCCAUCCAUUUCCUCGCCAACCGCGAGUCUGUGCACCUCGGCCGUCCUCCUUCCUUGUCUCGACUACUUCACAUCCUCCUUGGACCCCGAAGAGCAUGCUACGGAGACCGAGAGGAAGAAGAAGAAGAAGAAGAGGAAGAAGCACGCGAGAGAGAGAGAGAGAGAGAGAGAGAGCGGUCUCGGAACGCGUCCUUGAAAGCGUCACGCGCUUCGCCUGCCUACGUCUUGGCGGAACGUUCGGGCGGAAUCGGCGGGUCGCGCAAUUGCAUUCGGGAUAUUCACGGAAUACCACGUGGCCAGUACCCGCGAAUCUCACCAGCGAGGACGUCGCGGCGCAUCGACGAGGAGCUUCUUGGAAGUGUGCGAUCGCGAGGAGGGCAGGAGGGAACAGUCACUCCGGAUGGGAACGUCGCGGGUGGCGACGGCGUUGUAGAUACGCUGCAAGAAGAGACGGAGAGAUAAAAGAGCGAGAGAGAAUAAGAGAGUCCCCGGGGGUGAGCAGGGACUAAGAGGAGAGAAGAAGGAGAGGGAGGGGAGAAGAAGACGAAGAAGAAAAGGAAGAAGAGACGCAGUGCUGACAAACGAGAGGGAAAAUUGCGCGAGAACCUCGUGUGUUUUGUAUAUGUAAUCCCUUUAUAUAAGAUAAGAGCAUGGUAUGUCGACCGUGAAUAAAGACUACUGCGCGUUUUCGCAAAAAAGAAAAAAAACGAAGAAAGGGAAGCAAGAGGUACAUUUCUGUCGUCGGCGCGGUGGAUCGACGCGCGUCGAUCUGCCUCCAUCACCUUCAGGAACCACAUUGUCCCGUGCCGUCCGAUGAUCCUUGAUCCUCGCGAGUACACACCAAUCCUGACCAACACCGACCUUCCUGUUUCAUCGCAGAUGUCUCCUACGUCGCGCGUCCGAUGUCCUCGCCCGCAAUCGUCGGUAAGUGAAGCUUCAGUUUCCCACGAUAGAUAUUUCCGCGAGGAGCUUGCGAACGCGCAACGGUGAAUUCUCGAGCUUCGACCCGACGUCGAUUUCGUGUGCGCGCACGAGCACGACGUAGAGAGCGAUACCGAGAGAACUCAAGGGCUUUUUCAUUCUUUCAUUCAAAAGCAGGCACGUUUGCUUCGCUUUUGUUUUCGUUGCUU